rnacentral:rRNA from 1 species
GGACGAACGCUGGCGGCGUGCUUAACACAUGCAAGUCGAGCGGAAAGGCCUUCGGGGUACUCGAGCGGCGAACGGGUGAGUAACACGUGAGUAACCUGCCCUUGGCUCUGGGAUAAGCCUAAGAAAUUGGGUCUAAUACCGGAUAUGACCUCCUUCCGCAUGGUUGGUGGUGGAAAGUUUUUCGGCCAGGGAUGGACUCGCGGUCUAUCAGCUUGUUGGUGGGGUGAUGGCCUACCAAGGCGACGACGGAUAGCCGGCCUGAGAGGGUGACCGGCCACACUGGGACUGAGACACGGCCCAGACUCCUACGGGAGGCAGCAGUGGGGAAUAUUGCGCAAUGGGCGAAAGCCUGACGCAGCGACGCCGCGUGGGGGAUGAAGGCCUUCGGGUUGUAAACCUCUUUCACCACCGACGAAGCUAAC